rnacentral:rRNA from 1 species
UACGUAGGGGCUAGCGUUUUCCGGAAUCAUUUGGCGUAAAGCGCGUGUAGGCGGUCCGGUAAGUUCGCUGUGAAAGUCGGGGGCUCAACCCUCGGAUGCCGGUGGAUACUGUCGGGCUUGAGUACGGAAGAGGCGAGUGGAAUUCCUGGUGUAGCGGUGAAAUGCGCAGAUAUCAGGAGGAACACCAAUUGCGAAGGCAGCUCGCUGGGACGUUACUGACGCUGAGACGCGAAAGCGUGGGGAGCAAACAGG